AUGUGGUCGGCGUUGGGCGAGGAGCCCUGCGCGGGCAGGCCGAGCGAGGCGCCGAUGUCGGCCACGGCGGGCUGCAGCUCCCGCACGGACAGCCGGCCGUCCCCGUCGGCGUCGAGCUGCCGGAACUUGCUCUCCGCGAACAUGCCGAACGCCUCCCGGUCCUCCACCAGCUCCCGUAUCCCGGACCCGUCCACCACCACCUUGGCCCGAUCCUCCUCCUCCUCCCUCUCCCCGCCGCCGCCGCCGGCACCGCCACCUCCGCCCUGCUUCGCCUUCCUCCACCCGAACCAGCUCCUCUCCAUUUGCUAUAUAUAUGGAUGGACUGGCCGCCGCACCGAGGAAAAGUUGCAGGCCCCCUUUCCCACGCGCGGCUACAGGACAGCGGGAUCGGGAAGCUCUUCCCGAUCGCUUUGCGUCUUGGCGUUUGGUUCUGCUGCUUGUGCGCGCGGGAGAGGGACGCGGGAGGGAAUAAAAAGCGGCCGGCCGGGGAAAUGUUUGGCGCUGUCGGCGGCUGGAUAA
rnacentral:rRNA from 1 species